CGGGUGAGUAACGCGUAGAUAAUCUGCCUUAGACUCUGGGAUAACAUCUCGAAAGGGGUGCUAAUACCGGAUAAGCCCACGGGGACGUGAGUUCUUGCGGGAAAAGGGGGCCUCUGCAUAUGCUCUUGAUCUAAGAUGAGUCUGCGUACCAUUAGCUUGUUGGUAGGGUAAUGGCCUACCAAGGCGACGAUGGUUAGCUGGUCUGAGAGGAUGAUCAGCCACACUGGGACUGAGACACGGCCCAGACUCCUACGGGAGGCAGCAGUGGGGAAUUUUGCGCAAUGGGGGAAACCCUGACGCAGCAACGCCGCGUGAGUGAUGAAGGCUUUCGGGUCGUAAAGCUCUGUCUAGAGGGAAGAAGUGAUAUUUGGCUAAUACCCAGAUUUCUUGACGGUACCUCUGAAGGAAGCACCGGCUAACUCCGUGCCAGCAGCCGCGGUAAUACGGAGGGUGCAAGCGUUGUUCGGAAUUAUUGGGCGUAAAGCGCGUGUAGGCGGUUUGUUAAGUCUGAUGUGAAAGCCCUGGGCUCAACCUGGGAAGUGCAUUGGAAACUGGCGGACUUGAAUACGGGAGAGGGUAGUGGAAUUCCGAGUGUAGGAGUGAAAUCCGUAGAUAUUCGGAGGAACACCGGUGGCGAAGGCGGCUACCUGGACCGAUAUUGACGCUGAGACGCGAAAGCGUGGGUAGCAAACAGGAUUAGAUACCCUGGUAGUCCACGCCGUAAACGAUGAGUACUAGGUGUUGCG
rnacentral:rRNA from 1 species